rnacentral:misc_RNA from 1 species
GUGAAUCAUCGAAUCUUUGAACGCAAAUUGCGCUCUCUGGUAUUCCGGAGAGUAUGCCUGUUUGAGAGUCAGUUUAAAUAAAAAUCGGUGUGUUUUGUGCCUGUCGUGGUGACGCACCGGGUUUGGGUCGGCUUGCCUUCGGUUAAGUGGCGUAAAAUGUUGCAUGAUUAUUUCUAACGUAUUUAAAUGAUUUUACGUACGGUUGCGAGAUCGAAUACUGGGUGUGGUCGGC